UACGAAGGGGGCUAGCGUUGUUCGGAAUUACUGGGCGUAAAGCGUGCGCAGGCGGCUUCUCAAGUCAGGGGUGAAAGCCCAGAGCUCAACUCUGGAACUGCCUUUGAGACUGAGAGGCUUGAGUACGGGAGAGGUGAGUGGAAUUCCCAGUGUAGAGGUGAAAUUCGUAGAUAUUGGGAAGAACACCGGUGGCGAAGGCGGCUCACUGGCCCGUAACUGACGCUCAUGCACGACAGCGUGGGGAGCAAACAGG
rnacentral:rRNA from 1 species